GGAGGCGUGAGUCCUCACCGGAGCCGCUCGGUCCUGCGGCCGCGCUCGGUCCGCCCUGGGCAGGCUCAGGGGUGGCGGACGAGCUGGCGAGCAGAGGGGCGGCGCCCUGACGGGCGGGGCGACCCGGAGCUGCAGAGCGGGAUGGACAGGUGGGCGUGGGCUGCGCGGCCGGCGGAACUGGCCGGCCAUCCCGCCGCGGCCCUGACGCCUGGGCUGCGCUGGCUGCUGGGGUCAAAUCCCAGCUGACCUUUCUCCGGAGGAAAGAUAAAUUAUUAUGGUUGUGUGUGAGCGUCAGUGCAAAUGUUUUCCGAGCCCUCCUCCGGCUCAGGGUGCCUUUUGGAUCCCCCGCAUUCCUCAACCCCGGCCAGGGAGCGGCGGCGCCCUUUGUGUCUCCGCGGAGCGCAUGCCACCUCGGGGAAAACAACGAAUCUGAGUUAGAACGGGGAGAGAGAGACACUAGCAAAGAAGAGCAUCUGUCCUCCAGGCUGGGCUUUGUCUCCGUUUGCUCUGCGACUGCACUAGCGCAGCAAGGCUACAUAAGGAGGCUUUUCAGCAGAGGAGCCUGGUGUUGAACUCGUGCCAUGGGGAAUGAAUUCUUCUAUAGACCCCUCGUCCU
ensembl:antisense Gm16049 predicted gene 16049